UUGUGGACGACGGCCAGUGUCUGAGGCUCGCUGCAUCGCGUGUCGCCCUUAUCUGGUUGAUCCUGCCAGUAGUCAUACGCUCGUCUCAAAGAUUAAGCCAUGCAUGUGUAAGUAUAAAUAAUUCUACUUUGAAACUGCGAAUGGCUCAUUAUAUCAGUUAUAGUUUAUUAGAAAAAAUGUACUACUUGGAUAACCGUAGUAAUUCUAGGGCUAAUACAUGAAUGAAUCCUCGACUUUGAAGAGGUGUGUUUAUUAGUAUGAAAACCAUAUGCUUCGGCAUGAUAGUGAGUAAUAAUAACCUUUCGUAUCGUAUGUUGACAUAACGACAGUUCUUUCAAGUUUCUGCCCUAUCAGCUUUCGAUGGUAGUGUAUUGGACUACCAUGGCAGUAACGGGUAACGAAGAAUUUGGGUUCGAUUUCGGAGAGGGAGCCUGAGAGAUGGCUACCACAUCCAAGGAAGGCAGCAGGCGCGUAAAUUACCCAAUCCUGACAGAGGGAGGUAGUGACAAUAAAUCACAAUGCGGGACUAUUUAGUUUUGCAAUUGGAUUGAGAACAACGUACAAGAGUUAUCGAUAAACAAUUGGAGGGCAAGUCUGGUGCCAGCAGCCGCGGUAAUUCCAGCUCCAAUAGCGUAUAUUAACGUUGUUGCAGUUAAAAAGCUCAAGGGCGACACGCGAUUGCAGUCAAUACUGACG
rnacentral:rRNA from 1 species